GACGAACGCUGGCGGCGUGCUUAACACAUGCAAGUCGAACGGAAAGGCCCUGCUUUUGUGGGGUGCUCGAGUGGCGAACGGGUGAGUAACACGUGAGUAACCUGCCCUUGACUUUGGGAUAACUUCAGGAAACUGGGGCUAAUACCGGAUAGGAGCUCCUGCUGCAUGGUGGGGGUUGGAAAGUUUCGGCGGUUGGGGAUGGACUCGCGGCUUAUCCGCUUGUUGGUGGGGUAGUGGCUUUCCAAGGCUUUGACGGGUAGCCGGCCUGAGAGGGUGACCGGCCACAUUGGGACUGAGAUACGGCCCAGACUCCUACGGGAGGCAGCAGUGGGGAAUAUUGCACAAUGGGCGGAAGCCUGAUGCAGCAACGCCGCGUGCGGGAUGACGGCCUUCGGGUUGUAAACCGCUUUCGCCUGUGACGAAGCGUGAGUGACGGUAAUGGGUAAAGAAGCACCGGCUAACUACGUG
rnacentral:rRNA from 1 species